rnacentral:lncRNA from 1 species
GGCUUCGCUCCUUCAGAACAGAUUGCUCGGAAUACAAUUCCGACCCUACCCAUCCACUUUUUAUUCGAUUCCGACAACUUUGAUUUUUUCCGGCGACCUACAGUGAUUUUUCCGGCAUCUACAGUACUUUCCGGCCAAAAUUUCUUCAGGACAGUUUGCUACUACUUGAAUUCCGAGCCUAUCCAUAUUUUUACUUUUCAAU